AGAACGAACGCUGGCGGCAUGCCUAAUACAUGCAAGUCGAACGAACUCUUCGGAGUUAGUGGCGCACGGGUGCGUAACGCGUGGGAAUCUGCCCCUUGGUUCGGAAUAACAGUUGGAAACGACUGCUAAUACCGGAUGAUGACGAAAGUCCGAAGAUUUAUCGCCAAGGGAUGAGCCCGCGUAGGAUUAGCUAGUUGGUGAGGUAAAGGCUCACCAAGGCAACGAUCCUUAGCUGGUCUGAGAGGAUGAUCAGCCACACUGGGACUGAGACACGGCCCAGACU
rnacentral:rRNA from 1 species